rfam:Pseudomonas putida CSV86 contig00198, whole genome shotgun sequence.
AUACGUGUAGGGUGGAGAUGCACAACCGUCGGACCGUGUAGUACUGCGUCCCGGCCUCAGCGCCGGACCUGGUCUCGAAACAGGAUGCCCACCGGGCGUCCACGGACGAAGGCUGAUUCCUCCUCCUGACUGACGUGCAUAUGACACAACAGCAAGCAGGACGCGUCGUCGCGGCCUCGGCAACACUGGUCACCAGUCAGCCGGAAGUCGCUGGACACGGGAUGGCCCGCCACCCCUGACGCACCUGACACCGACCGUGAGAAGUCGUGUGUGCCGAACGCCGUUUCCGGCAGCCCGGAAACCGA